GGAAGUAAAAGUCGUAACAAGGUCUCCGUUGGUGAACCAGCGGAGGGAUCAUUAGCGAGUUUUAAUACUCCCAAACCCACUGUGAACCUUUCAUGUUGCUUCGGCGGGCGGCCCCUCGGGAGGGGCCAGGCUGCCCCUCGCAGGGGUGCCCGCCAGAAGACCAACAAACUCUGUUUUUAAGUGGCAUUCUGAGAAACCAAAAAACUAUCAAAACUUUCAACAACGGAUCUCUUGGCUCUGGCAUCGAUGAAGAACGCAGCGAAAUGCGAUAAGUAAUGUGAAUUGCAGAAUUCCGUGAAUCAUCGAAUCUUUGAACGCACAUUGCGCCCGCCGGUAUUCCGGCGGGCAUGCCUGUCCGAGCGUCAUUUACACCCCUCAAGCUCAGCUUGGUGUUGGGACCCUACAGCGCAUGUAGGCCCCUAAAAGGAGUGGCGGGCUCGCCAGUACCCGAGCGCAGUAGUUUUCUUCUCGCUUAGGGCCGUCUGGCGGGUGUUUGCCGUAAAACCCCCAACUUUUUAGUUUGACCUCGAAUCAGGUAGGGAUACCCGCUGAACUUAAGCAUAUCAAUAAGCGGAGGAA
rnacentral:rRNA from 1 species